UGGGGAAUUUUGGACAAUGGGCGCAAGCCUGAUCCAGCCAUUCCGCGUGCAGGAUGAAGGCCCUCGGGUUGUAAACUGCUUUUGUACGGAACGAAACGGCGCUUCCUAAUACAGAGCGCUAAUGACGGUACCGUAAGAAUAAGCACCGGCUAACUACGUGCCAGCAGCCGCGGUAAUACAUAGGGGGCCAGUGUUGUCCGGAGUUACUGGGCGUAAAGGGCCCGCAGGCGGUGGGGUGCGUUUGCCCUGACAGGUGCCAGCUUAACUGGCACAGGUGGGCAAAAACGGCCGCACUUCGAGGACCAGAGAGGGACAUGGAACUCCAGGUGUAGUGGUGAAAUGCGUAGAUAUCUGGAAGAACACCAAAGGCGAAGGCAGUGUCCUGGCUGGUACCUGACGCUCGGGGGCGAAAGCUAGGGGAGCGAAC
rnacentral:rRNA from 1 species